rnacentral:rRNA from 1 species
GACGAACGCUAGCGGCGUGCCUAAUACAUGCAAGUAGAACGCACAGUUUAUACCGUAGCUUGCUACACCAUAAACUGUGAGUUGCGAACGGGUGAGUAACGCGUAGGUAACCUGCCUGGUAGCGGGGGAUAACUAUUGGAAACGAUAGCUAAUACCGCAUAAUAUUGAUUAUUGCAUGAUAAUUGAUUGAAAGAUGCUAUUGCAUCACUACCAGAUGGACCUGCGUUGUAUUAGCUAGUAGGUGAGGUAACGGCUCACCUAGGCGACGAUACAUAGCCGACCUGAGAGGGUGAUCGGCCACACUGGGACUGAGACACGGCCCAGACUCCUACGGGAGGCAGCAGUAGGGAAUCUUCGGCAAUGGACGAAAGUCUGACCGAGCAACGCCGCGUGAGUGAAGAAGGUUUUCGGAUCGUAAAGCUCUGUUGUAAGAGAAGAACGGGUGUGAGAGUGGAAAGUUCACACUGUGACGGGAUCUUACCAGAAAGGGACGGCGAACUACGU